CCAUCAAUACAAUAAAUAUACUCUCUUUAUUACAAUAAUAAUAAAAAGAGAAGAACACACAGACACUAACUUUUCCCCUUCCAACUUGUUCAUUACCUUUGGUCUUAGAAAGAAAAAAAUAAGACAAUAAUUUAAGUAAAAAGAUUUAAAUAUUACAAAGUGGGUUAGAAAUGUUGGAUUUGUAAUCGUGAAUGGGACUUGACUAUGCAGGCAUUGGUCCCUAUUCCAAUAUGUACACUUCUUUUUAAAAACAUUGGAAGAGAAAAAUAGACAAUAAUUGGGGUGGUGUAAGUGUUAGAUCGCUUUCAUCAUUC
rnacentral:lncRNA from 1 species